AUUGAACGCUGGCGGCAGGCUUAACACAUGCAAGUCGAGCGGAGAUGAGGUGCCUGCACCUUAUCUUGGCGGCGUACGGGUGAGUUAUGCUUCGGAAUCUGCCUAUUAGUGGGGGACAACAUUCAGCAAGGAAUGCUAAUACCGCAUACGUACUACGGGAGAAUGUAGGGGAUGUCAGGACCUUGCGCUAAUGGAUGAGCCUAAGUCGGAUUAGCUAGUUGGUGGGGUAAAGGCCUACCAAGGCGACGAUCUGUAGCGGGGCUGAGAGGAUGGUCCGCCAAACUGGGGCCGAGGAACGGCCCAGACUUCUACGGGAGGCAACAUUGGGGAAUAUUGGACAAUGGGGGGAACCCUGAUCCAGCCAUGCCGCGUGUGUGAAGGAGGCCUUAUGGUUGGAAAGCACUUUAAGCGAGGAGGAGGCUACUGAGACUAAUACUCUUGGAUAGGGGACGUUACUCGCAGAAUAAGCACCGGCUAACUCUGUGCCAGCCGCCGCCGUAACAC
rnacentral:rRNA from 1 species